GACGAACGCUGGCGGCGUGCUUAACACAUGCAAGUCGAACGAAGAUGCUCCAGCUUGCUGGCUUGGAUCAUUGCCGAACGGGUGAGUGACACAUGUGCAACAUGCACCAGACUCUGGGGUAUGACCUGGAGACGCCGUCUCAUACUGGAUACGAUACUGGCCCCCGUGGGGUUCGAUUGGAAAGUUUUUCGGUUUUGGAUCGGCUCGCUGCCUACCAGCUACUUUGAGAGGUAAUGGCUGUCCCAGCCGACGACGGAUAGCCGACCUGAGAGGGCGACCGGCCACACGGGGACUGAGACACGGCCCAGACUCCUACGUGAGGCAGCAGUGGGGAAUAUUGCACAAUGGGCGAAAGCCUGAUGCAGCGACGUCGCGUUAGGGAUGACCGCCUUCUGGGUGUAAACCUCUUUCUGCAUGGAAGAAGCGAAAGUGACGGUACCUGCAGAAGAAGCACCGGCUAACUACGUG
rnacentral:rRNA from 1 species